rnacentral:lncRNA from 1 species
CAUAGCAUCAAGAAUAUUUAAAUGAACAGUUAUAUCACCAAACUCCAUAGAUAGUGUGCAUGCAUAUACAUCUAUCUUAGUUCUAGCAGUUUUCAUAAAAGGUCUGCCUAGAAUUAUGGGAACUGAUCCUUUAGAAAAUCCCUCCCCCAUAUUCAAAAUAUAAAAAUCAACAGGGAAAAUCAGUUCACCAACUCUAACUAAGACAUCCUCUAUGAA